rnacentral:rRNA from 1 species
UGGGGAAUAUUGCGCAAUGGGGGCAACCCUGACGCAGCAACGCCGCGUGAGUGAGGAAGGUUUUCGGACCGUAAAGCUCUGUCGAGCGGGAAGAAAUGUAUCGUGGCUAAUAUCCAUGAUAUUUGACGGUACCGCUAAAGGAAGCACCGGCUAACUCCGUGCCAGCAGCCGCGGUAAUACGGGGGGUGCAAGCGUUGUUCGGAAUUAUUGGGCGUAAAGAGCGUGUAGGCGGCUGAAUAAGUCAGAUGUGAAAUCCCUGGGCUUAACCCAGGAAGUGCAUUUGAAACUAUUCAGCUUGAGUAGGGGAGAGGAAAGUGGAAUUCCAGGUGUAGAGGUGAAAUUCGUAGAUAUCAGGAGGAACACCGGUGGCGACGGCGACUUUCUGGCCCUAUACUGACGCUGAGACGCGAGAGCGUGAGUAGCGAUCA